rnacentral:rRNA from 1 species
ACGCUGGCGGCGUGCUUAACACAUGCAAGUCGAACGAGAGCGUAGAGAAAGCUUGCUUUUCCUACAAUCUAGUGGCAAACGGGUGAGUAACGCGUAAACAACCUGCCCUACGGAUGGGGACAACAGCUGGAAACGGCUGCUAAUACCGAAUACGUUCCGAAAGUCGCAUGACUAUCGGAAGAAAGGAUGGCCUCUAUUUAUAAGCUAUCGCCGGAGGAGGGGUUUGCGUCUGAUUAGCUAGUUGGAGGGGUAACGGCCCACCAAGGCGACGAUCAGUAGCCGGUCUGAGAGGAUGAACGGCCACAUUGGAACUGAGACACGGUCCAGACUCCUACGGGAGGCAGCAGUGGGGAAUCUUCCGCAAUGGGCGAAAGCCUGACGGAGCAACGCGGCGUGAGUGAAGACGGCCUUCGGGUUGUAAAGCUCUGUUAUACGGGACGAAUAAUCUUGUGGUUAAUACCCAUAAGAAGUGACGGUACCGUAAGAGAAAGCCACGGCUAACUACGUGCCAGCAGCCGCGGUAAUACGUAGGUGGCAAGCGUUGUCCGGAAUUAUUGGGCGUAAAGGGCGCGCAGGCGGCUUCUUAAGUCUGUCUUAAAAGUGCGGGGCUUAACCCCGUGAUGGGAUGGAAACUGGGAAGCUCAGAGUAUCGGAGAGGAAAGCGGAAUUCCUAGUGUAGCGGUGAAAUGCGUAGAUAUUAGGAGGAACACCAGUGGCGAAAGCGGCUUUCUGGGACGAAAACUGACGCUGAGGCGCGAAAGCCAGGGGAGCGAACGGGAUUAGAUACCCCGGUAGUCCUGGCCGUAAACGAUGGGUACUAGGUGUAGGAGGUAUCGACCCCUUCUGUGCCGGAUUUAACGCAAUAAGUACCCCGCCUGGGGAGUACGGCCGCAAGGUUGAAACUC